GGGUUGUGAGGUUAAGCGACUAAGCGUACACGGUGGAUGCCCUGGCAGUCAGAGGCGAUGAAGGACGUGCUAAUCUGCGAAAAGCGCCGGCGAGGUGAUAUGAACCUUUGACCCGGCGAUGUCCGAAUGGGGAAACCCAGUGCAAUCCGUUGCACUAUCGUUAACUGAAUACAUAGGUUAACGAGGCGAACCGGGGGAACUGAAACAUCUAAGUACCCCGAGGAAAAGAAAUCAACCGAGAUUCCCCCAGUAGCGGCGAGCGAACGGGGAGCAGCCCGGAGUCUGAAUCAGCUUGUGUGUUAGUGGAACGGUCUGGAAAGUCCGACGGUACAGGGUGAUAGUCCCGUACACGAAAGCACACAUGCUGUGAACUCGAAGAGUAGGGCGGGACACGUGGUAUCCUGUCUGAAUAUGGGGGGACCAUCCUCCAAGGCUAAAUACUCCUGACUGACCGAUAGUGAACCAGUACCGUGAGGGAAAGGCGAAAAGAACCCCGGCGAGGGGAGUGAAAAAGAACCUGAAACCGUGUACGUACAAGCAGUGGGAGCCUCUUUAUGGGGUGACUGCGUACCUUUUGUAUAAUGGGUCAGCGACUUAUAUUCUGUAGCAAGGUUAACCGUAUAGGGGAGCCGAAGGGAAACCGAGUCUUAACUGGGCGUUAAGUUGCAGGGUAUAGACCCGAAACCCGGUGAUCUAGCCAUGGGCAGGUUGAAGGUUGGGUAACACUAACUGGAGGACCGAACCGACUAAUGUUGAAAAAUUAGCGGAUGACCUGUGGCUGGGGGUGAAAGGCCAAUCAAACCGGGAGAUAGCUGGUUCUCCCCGAAAGCUAUUUAGGUAGCGCCUCGUGAACUCAUCUUCGGGGGUAGAGCACUGUUUCGGCUAGGGGGCCAUCCCGGCUUACCAACCCGAUGCAAACUACGAAUACCGAAGAAUGUUAUCACGGGAGACACACGGCGGGUGCUAACGUCCGUCGUGAAGAGGGAAACAACCCAGACCGCCAGCUAAGGUCCCAAAGUCAUGGUUAAGUGGGAAACGAUGUGGGAAGGCACAGACAGCCAGGAUGUUGGCUUAGAAGCAGCCAUCAUUUAAAGAAAGCGUAAUAGCUCACUGGUCGAGUCGGCCUGCGCGGAAGAUGUAACGGGGCUAAACCAUGCACCGAAGCUGCGGCAGCGACACUUAUGUGUUGUUGGGUAGGGGAGCGUUCUGUAAGCCGUUGAAGGUGUGCUGUGAGGCAUGCUGGAGGUAUCAGAAGUGCGAAUGCUGACAUAAGUAACGAUAAAGCGGGUGAAAAGCCCGCUCGCCGGAAGACCAAGGGUUCCUGUCCAACGUUAAUCGGGGCAGGGUGAGUCGACCCCUAAGGCGAGGCCGAAAGGCGUAGUCGAUGGGAAACAGGUUAAUAUUCCUGUACUUGGUGUUACUGCGAAGGGGGGACGGAGAAGGCUAUGUCAGCCGGGCGACGGUUGUCCCGGUUUAAGCAUGUAGGCGGAGGUUCCAGGUAAAUCCGGUACCUUAUUAACGCUGAGGUGUGAUGACGAGGCACUACGGUGCUGAAGUGAUAAAUGCCCUGCUUCCAGGAAAAGCCUCUAAGCAUCAGGUAACACGAAAUCGUACCCCAAACCGACACAGGUGGUCAGGUAGAGAAUACCAAGGCGCUUGAGAGAACUCGGGUGAAGGAACUAGGCAAAAUGGUGCCGUAACUUCGGGAGAAGGCACGCUGAUGUGUAGGUGAAGCCCCUGCGGGUGGAGCUGAAAUCAGUCGAAGAUACCAGCUGGCUGCAACUGUUUAUUAAAAACACAGCACUGUGCAAACACGAAAGUGGACGUAUACGGUGUGACGCCUGCCCGGUGCCGGAAGGUUAAUUGAUGGGGUUAGCGGCAACGCGAAGCUCUUGAUCGAAGCCCCGGUAAACGGCGGCCGUAACUAUAACGGUCCUAAGGUAGCGAAAUUCCUUGUCGGGUAAGUUCCGACCUGCACGAAUGGCGUAAUGAUGGCCAGGCUGUCUCCACCCGAGACUCAGUGAAAUUGAACUCGCUGUGAAGAUGCAGUGUACCCGCGGCAAGACGGAAAGACCCCGUGAACCUUUACUAUAGCUUGACACUGAACACUGGUCCUUGAUGUGUAGGAUAGGUGGGAGGCUUUGAAGCGUGGACGCCAGUCUGCGUGGAGCCGACCUUGAAAUACCACCCUUUAAUGGCUGGUGUUCUAACGUAGACCCGUAAUCCGGGUUGCGGACAGUGUCUGGUGGGUAGUUUGACUGGGGCGGUCUCCUCCCAAAGAGUAACGGAGGAGCACGAAGGUUGGCUAAUCCUGGUCGGACAUCAGGAGGUUAGUGCAAUGGCAUAAGCCAGCUUGACUGCGAGCGUGACGGCGCGAGCAGGUGCGAAAGCAGGUCAUAGUGAUCCGGUGGUUCUGAAUGGAAGGGCCAUCGCUCAACGGAUAAAAGGUACUCCGGGGAUAACAGGCUGAUACCGCCCAAGAGUUCAUAUCGACGGCGGUGUUUGGCACCUCGAUGUCGGCUCAUCACAUCCUGGGGCUGAAGUAGGUCCCAAGGGUAUGGCUGUUCGCCAUUUAAAGUGGUACGCGAGCUGGGUUUAGAACGUCGUGAGACAGUUCGGUCCCUAUCUGCCGUGGGCGCUGGAGAAUUGAGGGGGGCUGCUCCUAGUACGAGAGGACCGGAGUGGACGCAUCACUGGUGUUCGGGUUGUCAUGCCAAUGGCACUGCCCGGUAGCUAAAUGCGGAAGAGAUAAGUGCUGAAAGCAUCUAAGCACGAAACUUGCCCCGAGAUGAGUUCUCCCUGAGACUUUAAGUCUCCUGAAGGAACGUUGAAGACGACGACGUUGAUAGGUCGGGUGUGUAAGCGCAGCGAUGCGUUGAGCUAACCGAUACUAAUGAACCGUGAGGCUUAACCUUACAACGCCGAAGGUGUUU
rnacentral:rRNA from 1 species